rnacentral:lncRNA from 1 species
CAAUUUUGGUAGAUUAGGAUUUUCACCCCAACAACACACGAGAUCCAUUGAGUUUGAUAAGACCAGUGAUCAAACUAACUAAGAUCCAAGGCUAACAGAAGUCAACAAAGGUCAAACAAAUAUAAAAUACAAUAAAAUAAAAUAAAAUAAGUGCAUCAAAAACAAUUUUAAAAUGAAUUUUAAAAGGGAAAUAAAAGAGAAAAUCCAUAAAGUCCUUCAAAACACCAAAUAAAUGGAAAAAAUAA